rnacentral:lncRNA from 1 species
CCUGGCACAGGGUGAGGACCAAAACAUUGUCCAAGUCUACAUAACAAAUAAACAAUAAUUACAGAGCAAAGGUGACCAAUUAGCAAACCAGAACAGCCUUCCCGUGAAGCUUGAUUAAAAACCACACAGCGAUCAGGCAUCUGGAAAUUGAUGAGAACAACGGUAAGCAUGGGAAAGUCUAGGUAGAAGAUAAAAGAUAGUAAAAAAAAAAAAAACUAUUCUAUACUCUCUUUGCCAGGCCCACACCACUAUAUCAAUGACAGCAUCAAAGGUAGAUCCGUGUUCAAUAACCAGGCCAACAUUAGCCACACCAUAAGCUCCUUCUUUCAAAACUUAAUUUUUAUCUCCUAUCAUAGGGUGAGGCAGAGAACAAUAUCCACGUCUACAUAACAACAAAAAAUUGUUGAAACUGACAAAAGAUAACCAAGAAAACAAGAAGUGCCAUCCAUUAUGGAAAUUGAAGAGUAUAACUAUAAACACGGGAAACUCUAGGUAGAAGAGAAAAUGUAGUAGAAAAAAAAAAUACUAUUAUGUAUUUCCUUUGCGACCCUCGAUUUACAAUAUACCAAUGAUAACAUCAAAGAUCUGUCCGCGUCCAAAAACCAGACCAAGAUAGCCCCCACAUUAAGCUCCUACAGUGAUGGAAUCAAAACCUAUUUUGUAUCUCCUGUCACAGGGUAGGCCCAAAACAAUAUCCAAGUCUAUAUAACAACAAAAGAAAUAUAAUAGAGAGAUCAAAUGCAACCAAUUAUGAACCCAGAACUGCCUUCCAGUUAAGCUUGAUUAAGAACCACACAACGAUCAGGCAUCUGGAAAUUGAAGAGAAUAACAAUAAGCACGGGAAAGUCAAGAUGGAAGAUAAAUUGUAGCAGAAUUAAUACAAUACUAUACUCCCUCUGACACCCUCGAUAAACAUUAUAUCAGUGACAGCAUCAAAAGUUGAUAUGUCUCCAAUAACUAGACCAAGAUUAGCCCCACCAUAAGCUGCUUCUUUCACAACUUAAUUUUUAACCCCUGUCACAAGGUGAGGCAGAAAACAAUAUCCACGUCUACGUAACAAAUAAAAGAUUGUUGAAACUGACAAAAGAUAACCAAGCAUACCAGAAGUGCCUUCCAGUUAAGAACCACACAACAAUCAGACAUCUGGAAAUUGAAGAGUAUAACUAUUAGCACGGGAAACUCUAGGUAGAAGAGAAAAUGUAGUAGAAAAAAAAUACUAUUAUGUACUCCAUGUACUCCCUUUACCACCCACAUUAAACUAUAUCAAUGACAGCAUGAAGGAUUUGUCAGUGUACCAAAAACCAGACCAAGACACGCCCCCACCUUAAGCUCCUACUUUGAUAGAAUCAGAACCUAUUUUGUAUCUCCUAUCACAGGGUGAGGCUGAAACCAACAUCGAGUCUAAAUAACAACAAAAGAACUACAAUAGAGAGAGCAAAGGUAACCAACUAUCAAACCCGAACUGCCGUCCAGUAAGCUUGAUUAAGAACCACACAACGAUCGGGCAUCUGGAAAUGGAAGAGAAUAACGAUAAGCACCGGAAGGUCUAGAUGGAAGAUAAAUUGUAUUAGAAGAAAUACUAUACUAACUCCCUCUGCCACCCUCGAAAAACAUAUCAUGACCAUCAAAGGAUUGAUUGUGUGCAAUAACUGACUAAGAUUAGCCCUACCUUAAGCCCUACUUUGAUAAAAUUAAAACUUAAUUUUUAUCUCAUGUCAUAGGGUGGGGCAGAAAACAAUAUCACGUCUAUGUACAAACAAAAAUUGUUGAAAUGACAAAAGAUAACCAAACAUCAAACCAGAAGUGUCAUCCAGUUAAGAACCACCCCACGAUCAGACAUCUGGAAAUUGAAGAGUAUAUCUAUAAGCACGGGAAACUCUAGGUAGAAGAGAAAAUGUAUAGAAAUAAAAAUACUAUUAUGUACUCCCUUUGCCACCCUCGAUUAACACAAUAUCAAUGACUCAUCAAAGAUCUGUCCGCGUCCAAAAACCAGACCAAGAUAGCCCCCACAUUAAGCUCCUACAGUGAUGGAAUCAAAACCUAUUUUGUAUCUCCUGUCACAGGGUAGGCCCAAAACAAUAUCCAAGUCUAUAUAACAACAAAAGAAUAUAAUAGAGAGAUCAAAUGCAACCAAUUAUGAACCCAGAACUGCCUUCCAGUUAAGCUUGAUUAAGAACCAAACAACGAUCAGGCAUCUGGAAAUCGAAGAGAAUAACAAUAAGCACGGGAAAGUCAAGAUGGAAGAUAAAUUGUAGCAGAAUUAAUACAAUACUAUACUCCCUCUGACACCCUCGAUAAACAUUAUAUCAGUGACAGCAUCAAAAGUUGAUGUCUCCAGUAACUAGACCAAGAUUAGCCCCACCAUAAGCUGCUUCUUUCACAACUUAAUUUUUAACUCCUGUCACAAGGUGAGGCAGAAAACAAUAUCCACGUCUACGUAACAAAUAAAAGAUUGUUGAAACUGACAAAAGAUAACCAAGCAUACCAGAAGUGCCUUCCAGUUAAGAACCACACAACAAUCAGACAUCUGGAAAUUGAAGAGUAUAACUAUUAGCACGGGAAACUCUAGGUAGAAGAGAAAAUGUAGGUAGAAAAAAAAUACUAUUAGUACUCCCUUUACCACCCACUAUUAACACUAUAUCAAUGACAGCAUGAAGGAUUUGUCAGUGUCCAAAAACCAGACCAAGACAGCCCCCACCUUAAGCUCCUACUUGAUAGAAUCAGAACCUAUUUUGUAUCUCCUAUCACAGGGUGAGGCUGAAACCAACAUCCGAGUCUAAAUAACAACAAAAGAACUACAAUAGAGAGAGCAAAGGUAACCAACUAUCAAACCCGAACUGCCGUCCAGUUAAGCUUGAUUAAGAACCACACAACGAUCGGGCAUCUGGAAAUGAAGAGAAUAACGAUAAGCACCGGAAGGUCUAGAUGGAAGAUAAAUUGUAUAGAAGAAAUACUAUACUAUACUCCCUCUGCCACCCUCGAUAAACACACUAUAUAGUGACCACGUCAAAGGAUUGACUUGUGUGCAAUAACUUGACUAAGAUUAGCCCUACCUUAAGCUCCUACUUGAUAAAAUUAAAACUUAAUUUUUAUCUCAUGUCAUAGGGUGGGGCAGAAAACAAUAUCCACGUCUAUGUAGCAAACAAAAUUGUUGAACUGACAAAAGAUAACCAAACAUCAAACAGAAGUGUCUCCAGUUAAGAACCACCCCACGAUCAGACAUCUGGAAAUUGAAGAGUAUAUCUAUAAGCACGGGAAACUCGAGGUAGAAGAGAAAAUGUAGUAGAAUAAAAAUACUAUUAUGUACUCCCUUUGCCACCCUCGAUUAACACAAUAUCAAUGACUACAUCAAAGAUCUGUCGCGUCCAAAAACCAGACCAAGAUAGCCCCCACAUUAAGCUCCUACAGUGAUGGAAUCAAAACCUAUUUUGUAUCUCCUGUCACAGGGUAGGCUCAAAACAAUAUCCAAGUCUAUAUAACAACAAAAGAAAUAUAAUAGAGAGAUCAAAUGCAACCAAUUAUGAACCCAGAACUGCCUUCCAGUUAAGCUUGAUUAAGAACCAAACAACGAUCAGGCAUCUGGAAAUCGAAGAGAAUAACAAUAAGCACGGGAAAGUCAAGAUGGAAGAUAAAUUGUAGCAGAAUUAAUACAAUACUAUACUCCCUCUGACACCCUCGAUAAACAUUAUAUCAGUGACAGCAUCAAAAGUUGAUAGUCUCCAUAACUAGACCAAGAUUAGCCCCACCAUAAGUGCUUCUUUCACAACUUAAUUUUUAACCCCUGUCACAAGGUGAGGCAGAAAACAAUAUCCACGUCUACGUAACAAAUAAAAGAUUGUUGAAACUGACAAAAGAUAACCAAGCAUACCAGAAGUGCCUUCCAGUUAAGAACCACACAACAUCAGACAUCUGGAAAUUGAAGAGUAUAUCUAUAGCACGGGAAAUUCUAGGUAGAAGAGAAAAUGUAGUAGAAAAAAAAUACUAUUAUGUACUCCCUUUCCACCCCGAUUAAACAUAUCAAUGACCAUAAGAUUGUCGGUCCAAAAACCAGACCAAGACAGCCCCCACCUUAAGCUCCUACUUUGAUAGAAUCAGAACCUAUUUUGUAUCUCCUAUCACAGGGUGAGGCUGAAACCAACAUCGAGUCUAAAUAACAACAAAAGAACUACAAUAGAGAAAGCAAAGGUAACCAACUAUCAAACCCGAACUGCCGUCCAGUUAAGCUUGAUUAAGAACCACACAACGAUCGGGCAUCUGGAAAUGGAAGAGAAUAACGAUAAGCACCGGAAGGUCUAGAUGGAAGAUAAAUUGUAUUAGAAGAAAUACUAUCUAUACUCCCUCUGCCACCCUCGAUAAACACACUAUAUCAGUGACCACGUCAAAGGAUUGACUUGUGUGCAAUAACUUGACUAAGAUUAGCCCUACUUAAGCUCCUACUUUGAUAAAAUUAAAACUUAAUUUUUAUCUCAUGUCAUAGGGUGGGGCAGAAAACAAUAUCCACGUCUAUGUACAAACAAAAUUGUUGAAAUGACAAAAGAUAACCAAACAUCAAACCAGAAGUGUCUCCAGUUAAGAACCACCCAGAUCAGACAUACUGGAAAUUGAAGGUAUAUCUAUAAGACACGGAAAUUGGUAGAAGAGAAAAUUAAGUAGAAUAAAAACUAUUAUGUACUCCCUUUGCCACCCUCGAUUAACACAAUAUCAAUGACUCAUCAAAGAUCUGUCCGCGUACCAAAAACCAGACCAAGAUACCCCACAUUAAGCUCCUACAGUGAUGGAAUCAAAACCUAUUUUGUAUCUCCUGUCACAGGGUAGGCCCAAAACAAUAUCCAAGUCUAUAUAACAACAAAAGAUAUAUAAUAGAGAGAUCAAAUGCAACCAAUUAUGAACCCAGAACUGCCUUCCAGUUAAGCUUGAUUAAGAACCAAACAACGAUCAGGCAUCUGGAAAUCGAAGAGAAUAACAAUAAGCACGGGAAAGUCAAGAUGGAAGAUAAAUUAUAGCAGAAUUAAUACAAUACUAUACUCCCUCUGACACCCUCGAUAAACAUUAUAUCAGUGACAGCAUCAAAAGUUGAUAGUCUCCAUAACUAGACCAAGAUUAGCCCCACCAUAAGUGCUUCUUUCACAACUUAAUUUUUAACCCCUGUCACAAGGUGAGGCAGAAAACAAUAUCCACGUCUACGUAACAAAUAAAAGAUUGUUGAAACUGACAAAAGAUAACCAAGCAUACCAGAAGUGCCUUCCAGUUAAGAACCACCCCACAUCAGACAUCUGGAAAUUGAAGAGUAAAAUUAUAAGCACGGGAAACUCUAGCUAGAAGAGAAAAUGUAGUAGGAAAAAAUAACUAUUAUGUACUCCCUUUGCAACCCUCGAUUAACAACAUAUUAAUUGACAAUAUCAAAGAUUUUUCCGUGUCCAAAAACCAGACCAAGAUAGCCCCCACAUUAAGCUCCUAUUGCGAUGGUAUCAAAACCUAUUUUGUAUCUCCUGUCAUAGGGUGAGGGCCAAAUCAAUAUCCAAGUCUACAUAACAACAAAAUAACUAUAAUAGAAAGAGCAAGGGUAACCAAUUAUCAAACCAGAACUGCCUUCCAUUUAAGCUUGAUUAAAAACCACACAACAAUCAAGCAUCUGGAAAUUGAAGAGAAUAAAGAUAAGUAUGAGAAAGUCUAGGUGGAAGAUAAAUUUUAGUAGAAAAAAUUACUAUAAAAUACUCCCUCUGCUACCCUGGAUAAAACCUAUAUCAGAGACAGCGUGAAAGGUUUGAUCUGUGUCCAAUAACUUGACCAAGAUUAGCCCCACCUUAUGCUCCCUACUUUGAUAAAAUCAAAACUUAAAUUUUAUCUCCUGCCAUAGGAUGAGGAGAAAACAAUAUCCACGUCUACGUAGCAAACAAAAAACUGAUGAAAAAGAGAACCAAGCAUCAAACCAGAAGUGUCUUCAAGUUAAGAACCACACAACGACCAGACACCUGGGAUUGAAGAGUAUAACGAUGGAGAGUAUAACGAUAAGAACCAGAAACUCUGGGUAGAAUAGAAUAUGUAGAAGAUAAAAUACUAUUCUGUUCUCCAUCUGCCUCCCUCAAUAAACACUAUAUCAAUGCCGGCAUCAUAGAUUAGUCCAUGUCCAAAAACCCAACCAAGAUAGCCCCAACUUAGAGCUCCUACUUUGAUAGAAUUAAAACCUAUUUUGUAUCUCCUGUAACAGGGUGAGGCCCAAAACAAUAUCCAAGUCAACAUAACAACACAAAAACUACAUUUACAGAGCAAACGUAACCAAUUAUCAAACCAGCCUUCCCGUGAAGCUUGAUUAAGAACCACACAGAGAUCAGGCAUCUGCAAAUUGAUGAGAACAACAGUAAGCACGCGAUAGUCUAGGGAGAAGAUAAAAUGUUGUAAAAAAAAAUACUAUUCGAUACUCCCUCUGCCACACUCGAUAUUAACAGCGUCAAAGGUUUAUCUUCCGAUAACCAGAUUAGCCCCACCUUAAGCUCCUUCUUUUAAUACUUAAUUUUUAUCUCCUGUCAUAGGGUGAGGCAGAAAACAAUAUCCACGUCUACGUAACAAACAAAAAAUUGUUGAAACUGACAAAAGAUAACCAAGCAUCAAACCAGAAGUGCCUUCCAGUUAAGAACCACUGAACCACACAACGAAUCAUCAGACAUCUGGAGAUUGAAGAGUAUAACUAUAAGCACGGGAAACUUUAGGUAGAAGAGAAAAUGUAGUAGAAAAAAAAUACUACUCCAUGUACUCUUCCUAUUGCCACCCUUGAUUAACAAUAUACCAAUGACAGCAUCAAAGAUUUUUCCGUGCCAAAAACCAGACCAAGAUAGCCCCCACAUUAAGCUCCUAUUGUGAUAGAAUCAAAACCUAUUUUGUAUCUCCUGUCACAGAGUGAGGCCCAAAACAAUAUCGAGUCUACAUAACAACAAAAGAACUAAAAUAAAGAGAGCAAAGGUAACCAAUUAUCAAACCAGAACAGCCUUCCAGUGAAGCUAGAUUAAGAAGCUCAGAGCGAUCAAGCAUCUGAAAAUUGAUGAGAACGGUAAGCAAGGGCAAGUCUAGGUAGAGGAUAAAAUGUUGUAAAAAAAUUACUAUACUAUACUUCCUCUGCAACCCUUGAUAAAAACACAAUAUCAAUUUGUCAGCGUCAAAUGUUGGUCCGUGGCCAACAACCAGACCAAGAUUAGCACCACCAUAAGUUCCUAAUUUGAUAGAAUCAAAACAUAAUUUUUAUCUCCUGUCAUAGGGUGAGGCAGAAAACAUAAAUUCAUCAUGAUGAUCUUGAGGCUCCUCACCAGCGAUUAAUCUGUGGCCAGAGAAGAGAACAAUUGAGUAAAUUCAUAACUAUCAGCGUUUCCACCAACUGCCGAUAACCAUCAAACUAUCAGCGCGAAAGGAAAAGGACAAAAUAAACCUUCUGGCUUGAGAGAUCACGAGCUAUCCAAUCGGUUGCCCUACAGAUACAAACGAAAGUAAGCCCCGAUAACCAAUACGGCAGAGGAAAUCAUGAUCUAAAUAGACCGUCAAAACUUGAACUAUAAAAUCUGCACUCGUUGCGAAUAACUGAAUAUUAACCCAAAUCAGCAGAAGGAAUCACAAUAACCGAUCUACACAAAUCAAAUACGUCAAAGUAGAUUGAACAGAAAUCCUCCGCUAGGUCAUCUAUCCUCGCCGCCAUAUGUCAUACCAGACAGGGAAGGCUAAUGGAAAUCGCAACACAAGGAGAGAGUAACCCGAUCGAAAACACAAAACUUAAUCGCCAACGAAAUCGCACCACAAAACACAAUAACCCUAGAUAUGAAUUCAGGAGAAGAGGGCCACAAUAGAAGAAAAAUAAUAGCGAAACACGCAAAGAGGGGGGAUGGGUAGGAGAAUGUGGGGAGAUAUGGUAUAUAUAGUGAGUCAUAGAGAGACUUG